rnacentral:rRNA from 1 species
GACGAACGCUGGCGGCGUGCUUAACACAUGCAAGUCGAACGGAAAGGCCCUGCUUUUGUGGGGUGCUCGAGUGGCGAACGGGUGAGUAACACGUGAGUAACCUGCCCUUGACUUUGGGAUAACUUCAGGAAACUGGGGCUAAUACCGGAUAGGAGCUCCUGCUGCAUGGUGGGGGUUGGAAAGUUUCGGCGGUUGGGGGUGGACUCGCGGCUUAUCAGCUUGUUGGUGGGGUAGUGGCUUACCAAGGCUUUGACGGGUAGCCGGCCUGAGAGGGUGACCGGCCACAUUGGGACUGAGAUACGGCCCAGACUCCUACGGGAGGCAGCAGUGGGGAAUAUUGCACAAUGGGCGGAAGCCUGAUGCAGCAACGCCGCGUGCGGGAUGAAGGCCUUCGGGUUGUAAACCGCUUUCGCCUGUGACGAAGCGUGAGUGACGGUAAUGGGUAGAGAAGCACCGGCUAACUACGU